CAUAAUUCCACCAUCUGUCUCUGACAUCAUGGGUCAGCAUCAUAAAACAGGAGGUAUUAUUUUUGGAGCCAUAGUACAUUACUGUUUUAAGUGAACUUAAAAUUAAUUGCUCAUGUGUCCCUAAUUGUAAUCAGCUUGUUUUGAUUUGUGAUCUGGAACAGUCUCAAAGUACACUGAAUUACUUGCUGAUGAAAUAAGACCAGAAGCUGCUGUGGAGUAGCAUGGUUAACGUACUGCAUGCUAUCAGAGUGAGAGCAAUCACUUGUCCAGUGCCAAGACUACAAUCAAGAUUAAAACUGGAACUGAUGGAGUUAGUAUGUGGGAGGGAGAGGCUAUGGAAAGAGAACUCUCAUAAUUUUAAGAGCAGAAAGGGAGGCAAAGUGUGCUUUCACUGCAAAAAA
ensembl:lncRNA